AUCAACGAUUCAGCUCCCUUACAGGGCUUUCAUCAGGAUACUGAUGAAAGCUCUGUAAGGGAGCUGAAACAUUGAU